GAAUAUUGCACAAUGGGGGAAACCCUGAUGCAGCGACGCCGCGUGAGUGAAGAAGUAUUUCGGUAUGUAAAGCUCUAUCAGCAGGGAAGAAAAAGGACGGUACCUGACUAAGAAGCCCCGGCUAACUACGUGCCAGCAGCAGCGGUAAGACGUAGGGGGCAAGCGUUAUCCGGAUUUAAGGGGUGUAAAGGGGGCGCAGACGGCUGUGUAAGUCUGAAGUGAAAGCCCGCGGCUCAACUGCGGAACUGCUUUGGAAACUAUACAGCUUGAGUAUCGGAGGGGUAAGCGGAAUUCCUGGUGUAGCGGUGAAAUGCGUAGAUAUCAGGAGGAACACCGGUGGCGAAGGCGGCUUACUGGACGAUAACUGACGUUGAGGCCCGAAAGCGUGGGGAGCAAACA
rnacentral:rRNA from 1 species